rnacentral:rRNA from 1 species
GACGAACCGUGCGAACGUUGUUCGGAAUCACUGGGCUUAAAGGGCGCGUAGGCGGGUCCGUAAGUCUGUGGUGAAAGCCCCCGGCUCAACCGGGGAAGUGCCGCGGAUACUGCGGGCCUCGAGGGGGGUAGGGGCGUGUGGAACUUCCGGUGGAGCGGUGAAAUGCGUAGAUAUCGGAAGGAACGCCGGUGGCGAAAGCGACGCGCUGGACCCCUUCUGACGCUGAGGCGCGAAAGCCAGGGGAGCAAACGGG